rnacentral:lncRNA from 1 species
CUUUACACCAAAUCCCCAGUCCCCCAAGAGAAGAAACCCCAUGGGACCGGGCCACACGGUGUUUCCACAGUGUGUCACGCUACAAAGAUAUUCUCCCAAGGCUGGUGGGUGACCCAACACCAAUCAGCCCACCCUGUGAUCAGCCCGUCACCCCAGGAGUCUUUUACCUUGGUGGCAAGCCUUCCCAUAGCCUCCAGGGGCCCAAACUGCACCUUUCUUAUCUAAAUGCACAGAGAAACAAGUAGCCCCUGCCAUAAUAACCAUUCACUGCAGCCGCUGCCAGCUACCUCCCAGUGACUUUGGGGAUGGGCUUUCGCCAGUGACUUGUCAGCCAUGGCACAUGAAGGUCAAGUUCUCUCUCAUAGUACAAAGUAAUCCCUGGAACGCGCAAAGCCAAAGAGAUCAGGUAACGCAAUGCAAAGGACAGCAGAGCUUUCGGCCUGGGAGGGGCCUGCCCAGGACUCUCGAGACUCCGUGAGAAAGGCAGAAGGCCCCCAAAACAGGGUGUGCGUGGCCGUUUUCUGUGUUCCUCAAGAGGUCUCAGGCUGCUAGAAGUCUCCUAUGUGGUACUGAAGAUGGUACAAGGCAGGAGAAGCACAAGCAGAGGAAAACGGAAGGCGUCACAGAAGAGCCGGUUCUCAAGAUUUUAGGCUUUCUAAAAGGGGUUUCAGUCGACUGAAAAAAUCCCAGCAACAGGAUCCCGGAAAGAAGUGUCAGCACUUAGGGAAGCUGAGGCAGGAGGAUCACUUGAG